CGACAAGUAGGGCGGGACACGAGAAAUCCUGUCUGAAUAUGGGGGGACCAUCCUCCAAGGCUAAAUACUCGUAAUCGACCGAUAGUGAACCAGUACCGUGAGGGAAAGGCGAAAAGAACCCCGGGAGGGGAGUGAAAUAGAUCCUGAAACCGUGUGCAUACAAACAGUAGGAGCGGACUUGUUCCGUGACUGCGUACCUUUUGUAUAAUGGGUCAGCGACUUACAUUCAGUGGCAAGGUUAACCAGAUCGGGAAGCCGUAGAGAAAUCGAGUCCGAACAGGGCGAUAGUCGCUGGGUGUAGACCCGAAACCAAGUGAUCUACUCAUGGCCAGGAUGAAGGUGCGGUAACACGCACUGGAGGUCCGAACCCACUAAUGUUGAAAAAUUAGGGGAUGAGCUGUGGGUAGGGGUGAAAGGCUAAACAAACUUGGAAAUAGCUGGUUCUCUCCGAAAACUAUUUAGGUAGUGCCUCAAGUAUCACCAUCGGGGGUAGAGCACUGUUAUGGCUAGGGGGUCAUCGCGACUUACCAAACCAUUGCAAACUCCGAAUACCGAUGAGUGCGAGCUUGGGAGACAGACGUCGGGUGCUAACGUCCGGCGUCAAGAGGGAAACAACCCAGACCGCCAGCUAAGGUCCCAAAGAUUGGCUAAGUGGAAAACGAAGUGGGAAGGCUAAAACAGUCAGGAUGUUGGCUUAGAAGCAGCCAUCAUUUAAAGAAAGCGUAAUAGCUCACUGAUCGAGUCGUCCUGCGCGGAAGAUGUAACGGGGCUAAGCCAGUCACCGAAGCUGCGGAUAUGCGUAAGCAUAUGGUAGGAGAGCGUUCUGUAAGCCUGCGAAGGUGUCUUGUAAAGGAUGCUGGAGGUAUCAGAAGUGCGAAUGCUGACAUGAGUAGCGAUAAUGGGGGUGAAAAGCCCCCACGCCGUAAGCCCAAGGUUUCCUGUUCAACGUUCAUCGGAGCAGGGUGAGUCGGCCCCUAAGGCGAGGCAGAGAUGCGUAGCUGAUGGGAAGCAGGUUAAUAUUCCUGCACCGUCGUAUGAUGCGAUGGGGGGACGGAUCGCGGAAGGUUGUCUGACUGUUGGAAUAGUCAGUUU
rnacentral:rRNA from 1 species